rnacentral:misc_RNA from 1 species
AGACAUGUUUAAAUUUGUAUGUUCCCUUUUCACUACUCGUUGAGGAACUUAAUAAACAUGUAACAAAAAAUUCUUCUUUGCAACCAUUUUCAUUGGAAAAAUAUGACGAGAAUUCUUUAUGCAAUAAUUUGUCCCUAAAUGUAGGUAUCAAUCCUACAUCUUUUCUGAAGUGGAACCAACCUAUCACUUGUUUACUCUUAUCUCGUAAAAAGUCCCUUAACUUUUCCUUAUUAAUUUUGCCAAUAGAGUUGUGUAAAGAAUCUGGUAAUGGACAAGUUACAACAGCUUCAAUAUCUAAAAUACUGUAUAUUUUCACUGUUUCUACUUGAUUGUAUAAAUCUGUGUCUGUUUUCCUAACAAAUUCAAGUGUUUCUCCUAGCAAAAAGCCCAUCUAGAAUACGGAGAAUUCAAUGUUUUCAAUUUCCUUGUUCAUUAGCUUACAUUAUUUUGAGGUUAAGACGCUAUAUUUCAUAAUCU